UCUGCAUUUACAAAGACUAAUGACCAGAUAUUAGGUUCUUUGCCUGACCCUCCUGCCGUUGGUAUCACCGCCAUCAGAGAGUUGGGCCCAUACACUACGAGAUUUUCCGCCUCCACUGCUGCAGUCCUCCUCGCAACCAGCCACGGUCUUUAGUAGCUCCGAUUGCAGUGAUGGGCAGUUCUCCUUGAGGUACUCAAAGCCAUCCGACCGCAUUACAGCUGCAAGGUUUUCAGCAGCAAAAUUUAGGCAAACAGCUUUUAAUUCUGUAGCAUGAUGACAGUCGGCCAAGGCCAAAAUGCUGGCAACAGAGCUCACAGAUAUAUCCUUGCAAAGAUGAGACUCACACAUCAAUCUGAGCCUGUCCAGACCAUAACUGUCAGCUGCUGCUAACAGUUUUGCCGUUAAUGUUUCAGAUACCAAGGAAACACAAGACGAGCUAGAUGUCUCCAUGUCCACAUCUUCAGUGAGAGUAUCUCGGUAAAUGAAAUGCAACAUGGCCUUGAAAACUUUAGGUUCUAAAUCAGUAAUAUGAACCACUUGCUUGUCUUCUUCUUCGGCAUCAAAAAAUUUAGACCGAAAAAAAGGAGAUCGAGCAGCCAAAACCAACUUGUGAGCAUGGAUCUUUUCCCCUGCCACAUUAAAAGUAAUGUCUGAACCUUCCAUAUUUUCAAGCAGCAUGCCAAAAUGUGCUCCUAUAUCAGACUCUGGAACCUGAAUUGAGUGUAAUCGAGGACAAUCUAUUGCUGAAACCACUACCCCAACAGUACAAUUUAUUUUCAGGCAAUCAUCCUUGAGAAAGUCAGAUGUUUCAAGCAAAGCUCGUCUGAAAAAUCGCUUGUAUCCCCACAUGCUACCGCGAUACUUAAGCGUGUAGGGGCCACUCUCAAGCGAGCGAUCGAAAUGGCUAUGAACCUUAUGCUUCCCUUUCCCACUCUGAUCAACUAGCGUAAGCUCGAACAACGCCCUGACGUCGGUACCCUCGCUGGCAAGGGCGAUGAAGACUGAGACGUAUGUUGAAUUAUCCUCCGGAUUCUUGCCGUCAGGAUAGAAGUAUAUCGCCCACUGGUACCCUCCCACCGUGAAAUUAUCGCUCGCAAUGUGCUUGCCCACUCCCAUUCCCUUGGCGAGCGAAUAGCCCUGGAUCACGAACCGGUGCGAGCCAUUCACCGUUUCGGUAACCGACCGGGAGGACGAUGGCGAGACCAGAGGGCUGGUCUCGGACUUGGGUACAAUGGUGUUGGUCAUUGUGCGGAGAAAAUCGAAAUUGGGGAAUUAUACAUGGAAUUGAAGGGAAAUUUUUGAAGAAUUAGAUUAGACUGGGGGAUGGGUGUAAGAAUUUGAGUGAGAAAUUGUGAGGUUUUGGUUAUGAAUUUGGGAAAUGAGAAAGAAUUCGCUAGAAUUUUGAUCUUAGUAACGGAGGUUUUUGUUUUUGUUUUUGUAUUUUGUAAUCCAAAUCCAC
rnacentral:misc_RNA from 1 species